GUGGGGAAUCUUAGACAAUGGGCGCAAGCCUGAUCUAGCCAUGCCGCGUGAGCGAUGAAGGCCUUAGGGUUGUAAAGCUCUUUCGUGGGGGAAGAUAAUGACUGUACCCCAAGAAGAAGCCCCGGCUAACUCCGUGCCAGCAGCCGCGGUAAUACGGAGGGGGCUAGCGUUGUUCGGAAUUACUGGGCGUAAAGCGCACGUAGGCGGACUGGAAAGUCAGGGGUAAAAUCCCGGGGCUCAACCCCGGAACUGCCUUUGAAACUCCCAGUCUUGAGGUCGAGAGAGGUGGGUGGAAUUCCGAGUGUAGAGGUGAAAUUCGUAGAUAUUCGGAGGAACACCAGUGGCGAAGGCGGCCCACUGGCUCGAUACUGACGCUGAGGUGCGAAAGCGUGGGGAGCAAACAGGAUUAGAAACCCGUGUAGUCC
rnacentral:rRNA from 1 species